GAAAUGCGAUAAGUAAUGUGAAUUGCAGAAUUCAGUGAAUCAUCGAAUCUUUGAACGCACCUUGCGCUCCUUGGUAUUCCUUGGAGCAUGCCUGUUUGAGUAUCAUGAAAUCUUCAAAGUAAAUCUUUUGUUAACUCAAUUGGUUUCUACUUUGGUAUUAGAGGUCUUUGCAGCUUCACACCUGCUCCUCUUUGUUCAUUAGCUGGAUCUCAGUGUUAUGCUUGGUUCCACUCGGCGUGAUAAGUUAUCUAUCGCUGAGGACACUGUAAAAGGUGGCCAAGGUAAAUGCAGAUGAACCGCUUCUAAUAGUCCAUUGACUUGGACAAUACUUUUAUGAUCUGAUCUCAAAUCAGGUAGGACUACCCGCUGAACUUAAG
rnacentral:misc_RNA from 1 species